GGGGAAAAAAAUCAAAAAGAGCCGUUCCAUCCCCCCUCCAAGGACUGGGUUUGAAUUGCUUUUCAUCUGCAGUGGCUGUGAUUCAGCGUCCCUCUUAGCAGCAGGCAAUGACAGAGGCAGGAGAGGGGAAAAAAAAAAAGAAAGAAAGAAAAAACACAGCAAAUGAAUCAAACGGACGUAGCAGGCAAGAGUGUGGUUAUCGUUGGACCAGGAUUCAGGAUCUGACUGAGUAGCUGACUCUUAAUCCAGUUUGUGUUGAUCACCAGGAGGAUCUGGACCUCAGUAUUACCACAUCUAGAGCUAUAAUCACAUCCCUGUUAAGCCUUCCUGAGAUCACACCAAAUGUCCUUGAUGGGAAUUGUAAACAACCCUUACUUCUGGUUUCUAAUGAUAUUCCAGGAAAGGAGCCUAACUAGAGUCAGUGAUAUGCCAACUCCACCUUUGCCUUCCACCAUGUUUGGAAGCUCCCUGAGGCCUCACCAGGAGCAGAUGCUCGUCCCAUGCUUCCUAUAAGCCUGCAGAACUGCUGGCCAGGGGCAGUGGUUCAUGCCUGUAAACCCAGCACUUUGGGAGGCAAAGGCAGGAGGAUUGCUUAAGCCCAGGAAUUUGAGAUCAGCCUGGACAACAUGGUCAAGGAAGCUUUUCCUGAUCCACUAACUAAGGACAAUCAAACCCUUCAUGAUCUAGAAUCUGGAGACUGUGUCUUCUGGGAAUAGUAUCAGAGAAAGACUGCCCUUACUGCCCACAUGUAGCAAAACUUUGAGACGUUGAAUUAUGGGUCCAUAAUCUCACAACUCAGAGGGGCACCUCUAGACUCUUGGAACUGUAUAUCUAUUGGAGACUUUAAGGUAAAGCUGAACAGAGAGACGUUUUUCUCCAGAAGCAGACAGCACCAUAGUCAUGGACAGCUUUCCCAAGAUCACAGAUCAAGACUUCUCUGCCGUCAUGAGACUCAUAACCUCUUAAUUUUUUCUUGCUUAUGCUUCUGUGAACAAUAGAAUUGGAAAAGGGGUGGUCCCGCGUGCACCCAUAGGGUAUACUUUUAUUUGUGGAGGAUUUUGCUGCCAACCUUAUACAUGGGCAAACUUAUGCCUUCAUGGAUGGAAGAUAAAGGGCUAAUAUGGGUUAGAAAUUUUAAUGGUACCUUUGUUUCUCCAUAAUCAUUCAGAAACAGAACACUGGUCCACUCUUGUUAACCUACAUCAUAGGUUGAAGAGAACAUUGCCAGGAGGCCUUCAUCCUUCCAGAUGGGCACCAUUUGUUGGGUCUUUUUCCGUGGUAUGAAGAAAAUGAAGCAAUGAUUAGAAAUUGGUCCCUCGGCCGGGCACAAUGGCUCAUGCCUGUAAUCCCAUCACUUUGGCAGGCCGAGGCGGGUGGAUCACCUGAGGUCAGGAGUUUGAGACCAGCCUGACCAAUGUGGUGAAACGCCAUCUCUACUAAAAAUACAAAAAUUAGCUGGGUGUGAUGGUGCACACCUGUAAUCCAGCUACUCGGGAGGCUGAGACAGGAGAAUUGCUUGAACCUGGGAGGCAGAGGUUGCAGUGAGCCAAGAUCACCCCACUGCAUUCCAGGUUGGGCAACAG
rnacentral:lncRNA from 1 species